rnacentral:tRNA from 1 species
UGUGUGUAGUUUAAAAAAAAUACCAAGCUGUGACCUUGACAAUAGGAUAUUACCCUCAUACACCUA